rnacentral:rRNA from 1 species
GUAGGUGGCAAGCGUUGUCCGGAAUUAUUGGGGCGUAAAGCGCGCGCAGGCGGUUCUUUAAGUCUGAUGUGAAAGCCCACGGGCUCAACCGUGGAGGGUCAUUGGAAACUGGAGAACUUGAGUACAGAAGAGGAAAGCGGAAUUCCACGUGUAGCGGUGAAAUGCGUAGAGAUGUGGAGGAACACCAGUGGCGAAGGCGGCUUUCUGGUCUGAAACUGACGCUGAGGCGCGAAAGCGUGGGGAGCAAACAGGAUUAGAUACCCUGGUAGUCCACGCCGUAAACGAUGAGUGCUAAGUGUUAGGGGGUUUCCGCCCCUUAGUGCUGCAGCUAACGCAUUAAGCACUCCGCCUGGGGAGUACGGCCGCAAAGGCUG